GUUGUAUCGAAAUGAAUCCAUCAAGGGGAAUGGGAUCUCGAUUCUCUCUCUUCCGUGGUCGCCGGUUCCUGGGGGGAAACAUAAAAGUUUCCCAAGCAUGAAGCACUGAAACUCUUUUUACUACAAGUUGUGCAAUAACAAAUGACUAGCCUGGAACAGGACGAUGUUGGGUGUCUGCUCUCAGCGGCUCUGCUGUGCGUCCCAGGGCAGCUGCUGGCUCUGCUCCGGCCCGAUCUCCUGCUGGGAUUCUGCAAGCCCGCUACAAGCUAGAUACUGCCCACCCAUCCCCCUACUGCCCAAUGACUGUCCUGGUGCGAAACUCCUGAGAACACUGGCCUGUCUUCUGGGUGACAGGACUCCACAUGGAGCUGGCCUGAAGGGCUCUCAUUAAACUUUCAUGAGCUGAAUGUUCUGGAACUCAUGGAUCUCUGAUGAGUGGCAAUGCAAAGCCCCUGUGAGCCCUGUGUGAGGUCCUUAUAAUG